rnacentral:rRNA from 1 species
UACGGGGGGAGCAAGCGUUGUUCGGAUUUACUGGGCGUAAAGGGCGCGUAGGCGGCUUUGUAAGUCACUUGUGAAAUCUCCGGGCUUAACUCGGAACGGCCAAGUGAUACUGCAAUGCUAGAGUGCGGAAGGGGCAAUCGGAAUUCUUGGUGUAGCGGUGAAAUGCGUAGAUAUCAAGAGGAACACCUGAGGUGAAGACGGGUUGCUGGGCCGACACUGACGCUGAUGCGCGAAAGCGUGGGGAGCAAACGGG